UACGUAGGGGCGAGCGUUAUCCGGAAUUAUUGGGCGUAAAGGGUUCGCAGGUGGUCUGUUAAGUCAGAUGUGAAAGGCAGUGGCUCAACCAUUGCAAGCAUUUGAAACUGGCAGACUUGAGUACAGGAGAGGAAAGCGGAAUUCCUGGUGUAGCGGUGAAAUGCGUAGAUAUUAGGAGGAACACCAGUGGCGAAGGCGGCUUUAUGGACUGAAACUGACACUGAGGAACGAAAGCGUGGGGAGCAAACAGGAUUAGAUACCCUGGUA
rnacentral:rRNA from 1 species